CGGAACUUUCAAAACCCCCGGGCGGAGAAAGGGCGUGGCGAGUGGUGCCUGGGAGCCGGCGUUGAACCGGCGGGAUGACUAGCAACCGAGCCUUUUUCGAGGUUCUUAGAGAUGAUUUUAACAGCACUGGCUUGACAGUGUCUUUGCCUCAGAGAUUUUCUUCAUUUUCCCACCAGCUCAGUCAUGCAUAUCAAAAGAAGUUUAUGCACAAUUGAAGGACACCAACUAAAAUUUGAACAAAUAAGAGAUUUGUAACUGGGGAUCCCCUGGAAGAAUCGUCUGGAAAUUACGACCUUCAUCUGGCGAUUGCAGCUGUUAAAGUCUCCAAAGAAGCCAUUCUUACAUUGUGUUGUGAAAUUAUUACUCUAUCUCAAAUCUGUGCCAGAAAGAAAAUAAA
rnacentral:lncRNA from 1 species